rnacentral:rRNA from 1 species
GAUGGACGCUGGCGGCGUGCCUAAUACAGGCAAGGCCAGCGAACAGACGAGGAGCUUGCUCCGUCGACGUUAGCGGCGGACGGGUGAGUAACACGUAGGUAACCUACCUAUAAUACUGGAAUAACUUCGGGAAACCGGAGCUAAUACCGGAUAAUAUUUCGAACCGCAUGGUUCGAUAGUGAAAGAUGGCUUUGCUAUCAAUUAUAGAUGGACCUGCGCCGUAUUAGCUAGUUGGUAAGGUAACGGCUUACCAAGGCAACGAUACGUAGCCGACCUGAGAGUGUGAUCGGCCACACUGGAACUGCGACACGGUCCAGACUCCUACGGGCGGCCGCAGUCGGGACUCCUCUGCACUGGGCGAAAGCCUGACCGAGCAACGCCGUGUGCGUACUGAAGGUCUUCGGAUCGUAACCCUCUGUUCUUAGGCACGAACAACCGUGUAAGUAACUGUGCUCGUCUUGACGGUACCUAAUCAGAAGGCCACGGCUAACUACGUG